rnacentral:rRNA from 1 species
UACGUAGGGUGCAAGCGUUAUCCGGAAUUACUGGGCGUAAAGAGCUCGUAGGCGGUUUGUCGCGUCUGCUGUGAAAACUGGAGGCUCAACCUCCAGCCUGCAGUGGGUACGGGCAAACUAGAGUGCGGUAGGGGAGAUUGGAAUUCCUGGUGUAGCGGUGGAAUGCGCAGAUAUCAGGAAGAACACCCGUGGCGAAGGCGGUUCUCUGGGACGGUACUGACGCUGAGACGCGAAAGCGUGGGGAGCGAACAGG